UUCUGAAUCGUAUGUUAUUCC
ensembl:piRNA 21ur-500 ncRNA